rnacentral:rRNA from 1 species
GAUGAACGCUGGCGGCGUGCCUAAUACAUGCAAGUCGAGCGAACGGACGAGAAGCUUGCUUCUCUGAUGUUUGCGGCGGACGGGUGUGUAACACGUGGAUAACCUCCCUAUAAGACUGGUAUAACCUCGGGAAACCGGCGCUAAUACCGGAUAAUCUUUUGAACCGCAUGGUUCAAAAGUGAAAGACGGUGUUGCUGUCACUUCUCGAUGGAUCCGCGCUGCAUUGGCUAGUUGGUACGGUAACGGCCUACCAAGGCAACGAUGCAUAGCCGACCUGAGAGGGUGAUCGGCCACACGGGAACGUGGACGGGGACAAGGCGCCUGCGGGAGGCAGCAGUAGGGAAUCGGCGGCAAUGGGCGAGAGCCUUACGGAGCAAGGCCGAGUGAGUUAUAGAGGUCUUCGGAGCGUGAAGCUCGGUUAUGAGGGAAGAACAUAUGUGUAAGUAACUGUGCACAUCGUGACGGUACCUGAUCAGAAAGCCACGGCUAACUACGUG